UGUUAAGGUCAAAACAUAUAUAUUGUGUUAAACAAUGGAUCAUUCGAUGAAUACAGAUAUUUCAAACGCCAAGUCAGAUCAUUAAAGUUCGUAAAGAAAGACCUGAUUGAUUAUAGAAAUUGCCCUCUUUGCCCACAAACUGGUGAGUUAGGUGUGGCCAUUCAUUCCAUGGAUGCUCGCUUUGGUCUAACUUGUAAAAAGUUGGAAGGGAAUAGUUUUGCUGUCCCAAACCAUGGCUGCCUUAAGUUUGCUGAUCAGGAUGAAGUAGAUGAUUUUGUUGAUCAUUAUAGCAAGUCUAAUAACAAAGUAGGACAGAGUUGUCAGAUAUUUAAGGCAGGAGAAGUUAGAGAAGCACUUCACUCCAAAGGAAAAAAUCAACUGUUUGAUGAAAAAGUGGUGUUUGGUAGUUGUUGCAGUCGGCAUUCACACCCUUGACGAUUUUUCAGCACUAAAUAUGGCGAAAGAAUUUCGUAUUUGCUGUUCCUAUUGCAAAGCAUUUUAAAAGAUGCUGACCAAAGUCCUGGUGUUGAUUUAAUAAUAAUGUAUAUUGGAUGUGUAUUAUCAUCAUAUUUAAAGGCAAACAAGAGGCAUGACAUUUUGUCAAGUGUCAUUUUCGGUGCCGAUAUUUCAUUGUUAUGGACACAAGGCUUCAUGCCAGUAAAAUCAUUAACGUCGAAGCUUAAAAAUGUCUACAACUUAAAAUUAAAACGCAACAAGAAAUGAAGGAUUUAUUUAGCGAACUACCUGUGACGUACGAUGCUGAGAUUGUUUGUCAGUGGGAGGCCAGAGAGAAGGAAAUUAUGUCAAGAGUCAACCCAGAACAUAAAGAAACCACGGAGAACUGGAAAGUGAGUGCUACAUCAUUCGGAUGUUUUGAAGAAAACCAGGAAAUAACUCUGAAGAUUACUCAAUUCAUCAGAUGUCGAAAAACUGUACCAGUUUCAAAACAUUAUAAAGAUAUUGAACGAAAGCAUUCUGUAAACGAAAGAUGGAAACCUGGUCAUCCUAGUUGUGAUGUCGUUGCAUUGCAAGUCAUACAAAGAAAACGAAAAGAUACUAUCGGAGCUUUACAUGGACUUUCCAUCGAAAGAUGGUCACGAACAAGAUGAAAUUAACAAUUGAGAAACACAAUGCUGCCAUUGAUUCUCUUCGUGAUUUUAUAAACAGUUUACCCGAUCGUCUGACAUUUGACAAAACGAAAGAUCCUACACCUGACCUUUAUGAGGGAUUUGAGUCUGGUGAGGAUGACAUUCUAGGGGAAUCCUCGGUCCCAGUAUACACAAA